AACAUAUGUGGGGAGCACGAAGGCUUUGCAGUUCUUACCCUUUAUUUCUCUGUCUUCCUUGAAAUGUUUGAAGUAUCUAAGAUGUGAUGCAGUGGUGCAGUCAAAGGGCAGGAGGAUGUCUUGGGCAUGAGAGACAGCCCUUUAAAAGUUUGCCAUACUGAGGGAAUUGGACGGUCCUGCUCGGCUGGUGACCAUGCAGGAAGGUGAAUAAAAUGGCACCUUGUCCCCAUAGCAUUCUAAUACACAGGAGCCCAGGUCUCACAUUCUUAUUUCCUGGCCUAUGUGUGACACCAUUUAAGUAGAUUUUACAUUUUGGUGUUUUCCUGUAGGUACAAUCUGAGAUGUGACUUUUUCUCUACCCUCAGUUCACACUUGGAUCUCUAAGAUGUUCAUAGAAAGAAUUGUUUUAAGAAAUUAAUGUUAAAAUACUACCAGUGUUCCCUUCCCUGGGUGUAAUAGAUGCUACUGGUGCCCGCUGAGAUCCUUUUGAGUGCCAGUGGCCCAGCCUCACAUCACUUGCUUCCUGGCUGAUACCAGUGGCCUCCGCAAGAUGCCCUCGGGCCACUGGAAUUGAGUAGAUACGGUGCCAAGAGCCAGAAUGCCUGGGGGUUGACAUCCAGUCUGAGGUGGCUGGUGGCAAGUGACUCACCGAGUGGGAGUAAGAAGGUCCCAGCAGCCUUGCCUAAGUGUGAGAUGAUUCGUGCUCCAGAACACCCCAUGGAUCAGGCCGAGGCUGAGACGUAGGGCCACACCCGAGCUCAGGUCUUGCCCUUGUCUCAUUCUGCUUCCUCUACUUCCUUCUCGGCUUCUCCUGGGAACUCUUCAUUGAUAUACAACUGGCCAGCGAGUCAUGGUCUCAAGGUCUGAUUUAAGGGACCUGGGGCACCUGAUUUAAGGCCCUUUCCUCUUCUCAGUGCUCCCCAAGGCUCCUCAAGCUCUCCCCACCCCAGCCUGGCUUCGGACGCCAUAAGGCCUGCUCUUCUUUCUGCUGUGUGAGAGGGCGACGCUUUGGGAGAGAGCAGCGGGUUCGGAACGAGGACUGGCUUCCACAUCAUAACCUGGACCCGCUUCUUAAUAGAGGCGCAUCCGCAAACCGUUGGUGGCAACUCUUAAGUCCUCCGUUUUGCUGUAAAGAAGAGGAAAAUACGUCCCACUGUGAUGGAAUAAUGGAUGUGAGAGAGCUCUGAAAAAUUCUCAGCUCUAACUCCAAUGCAGAUCUGU
rnacentral:lncRNA from 12 species